GUCAAACUCAAAAUCAUUUCAAUUGGUAACUACUGUUCAAGAAAUAAUCACAUUAAUGGUAAUACAAACUCCAAAGGAUAUGUUUCUAGGAUCAAUUAUUGGCAUCUUUAAACUAAGAAUAAUACAGAAAAUGACUGCAUGAAUCGCUUUCAUCAAUGAUUAGGACAAUAUGGUGAUACAAAAAUUAUACUUCUCUUCAGAACUUUCAACUCAAUUUUUUUGCUGUAUAACACUACAGAGCACUGAACCUCAAGUGAGGAAAUGACAAUUUCCUUCUUUUAUAAGAAAAGAAAAAAAAAAUGGUCUCCAAAUGCAUUCACUAUUCUGCCUGAAUGAAUUGGAGAAACGUAAUGGUGAGGAUCAUUUCCCUGGUUUGAAUAUAAUGGUAAAAUUGUCGCAAAAUUGAACUAGAAUCUAUUCUCAACAGCUUACUUCUGGUUCUGGGUUCGUUCUACCUUUGAUCGAAUUGUAUCCAAAAUUAUCUCCGUCUCAAGGUCAAACAUUGUAUUGACAGCAUGCAUAAUUUCAAGUAUCUCUUCUGGCUUACGGCAGUCAUUUGCAUCAAGUCUAAGGUGCUGCAUCGGACCAUGAAGGAACUUCUUCAACAUACCCAUGCUAAGAUCAUAGACAGCCUUUUUUUGUUUCUCUGAAAUGUCGCCCAUCUUUGACAAACACUUGUCCAGUUCAGAAGCUCUAAUCCUUUCUAGAUAAGCACGCAACUUCUUGAUGGUAGGAACAGUCUCAAGAGAAUCCUUCCAAGCUUCAAACUUGUGCAAUUCCUCAGAAAUAACUGCCUGUGCUUCCAUAGCUUUCCUGAGACGAUCUUCCUUAUUAGCAGCCACAACUUCCUUGAGAUCAUCUACAUUGUAGACUUCUGCUGUCUCCAGAUCUGAGACAGAUGGUUCUACAUUCCUAGGAACAGAAAUAUCAAUGAAAAACCGCCUUCCAACUUUUGGGUCCACAGGGGGAAGUCUCUGCACAUGCUCUUUCAAGAACAAAGGAGCCUCUGAUGCAGUGCACGUGAAAAUCACAUCAGCUUCACAUGCACAUGCCAUCAUUUCUGAAAGGGGUUUAUAUAUGAUUUCAGUAUCCUUAAGCUCUUCACGUAUGGCAUUAAUUCUUUCCUCAGUUCUAUUCACAACCACCAUUUUGGUGCACCCUUUUGCAGCUAAGUGCUUAAUCACUAGUUUCCCCAUCUUGCCAGCUCCAAUUACCAAAACUCUAGCAGCAUUAUAUGAAGACUCUGGAAGCUUCAUUUGACUAAGUUCUACAGCAGCCGAACUGACUGAAACUGACCCUGAUGCAAUGUUAGUUUCAGUUCUAACCCGCUUUCCAGCAAUGAUUGCAUGUUCAAACAGCCCACUGAUUUUCCUGCCAAAGCCAGAUACCCCUUGUCCAAGCUUUUUAACUUGUUUCACCUGGGCAAGGAUUUGACCCUCCCCUAGCACAACAGAGUUGAGUCCAGAAGCUACUUCAAAUAGGUGUCUUGUGGCAUCUCUGUUAUACAAUAUAAACUGGUGCUGGCAAAGCUCAGAAACAGGAAUCCCACUAAUCUUAGACAUCCACUCAGUCACUUCUUUAACCACACGAUGCUGAGACAAAGCCACAACAUAUAUUUCCAUUCGGUUGCAAGUACUAAGAACAGCAGCUUCUUCUAUAUGAUUAAGAGAACUAAGCUCAUUAAUGGCCUGAGGCCACUGGGCUUCUGGAAUGGCAAGUUUCUCCCGUAUUUCAACUGGUGCAGUGUGCACAUUAAGCCCUAUUACAGCAAUGCUGCUCCUUUCCUUUGUAUAUCUAUCAAUCCCAGAUGCCUUGAGUUGUUCAAGAGCGAUAAUAUUGGACUUCUUGGACUCAGCCUUAUCACUUGGAUUCAAAUUCUGAGAAACAACCUCACACCUCAAAGAAAGAGCUCGAUGAAAAACCAGCGACUUCCUCUCUCCCCCCUUCUUGGAAAUCUCGUAGAAGAAUUGCGAUCCGGAACAAAAAGGCGAAGAAGAGGAAGGCAAAGAGACAGUAGAGGAGCUCGAUUGCAUUUGCCUAUAAGCAACAGAUGAUGCAGCGAAAGUGCUCGCAGAGGCUACCGCCAUUGAGACAAGACGAGAGAGAAGAUGAGAGGUUGAGAAAUCUAAAUCCCUAAAUUAUUGGGAGGUAGGAAGGGGUUGGGGUUGGGGUUGGGUUGUGUUUGGUGCGAAACGUUUGACCUGUGAAAAGAAUGGAGCUCGUGUGGGUUUAAAUAUUUG
rnacentral:misc_RNA from 1 species